rnacentral:rRNA from 1 species
UACGAAGGGUGCAAGCGUUACUCGGAAUUACUGGGCGUAAAGCGUGCGUAGGUGGUUCGUUAAGUCUGCCGUGAAAGCCCCGGGCUCAACCUGGGAAUGGCGGUGGAUACUGGCGGACUAGAGUGCGGUAGAGGGUGGUGGAAUUCCUGGUGUAGCGGUGAAAUGCGCAGAUAUCGGGAAGAACACCCGUGGCGAAGGCGGCUCUCUGGGACGGUACUGACGCUGAGACGCGAAAGCGUGGGGAGCGAACAGG